rnacentral:miRNA from 1 species
UUUGAGUGCAGCGUUGAUGA